rnacentral:lncRNA from 13 species
UUCUUCCACACCAAACUGUUUCUGUAUGGACCUUNNNNNNNNNNCAUUGUGGCCAGUCGUGGCGCUUGAUGAAGCAUUGUGGCCAGUUGCUUCAGCUAAUGUAUUUGGGCCAGUCGUGACGCUUGCAGAAGCAUUGUGGGUGGCUGCUUCUGAGGCACGGGAUCCGGUUGCUCCACCUAAGGUAUUUGGGCCAGUCGUGACGCUUGAUGAAGCGUUGUGGCCUGUUGCUUCAAAGGUAUUUUGGCCAGUAGCCACACCUGCCGAGGUAUUUUGGGUGGCCGCUUGCACGGCACUGUGGCCAGUUGCUUCCGCUGCCGAGGCACUGUGGCCAGCUGCUUCACCUAAGGUAUUUGGGCCAGUCGUGAUGUUUGCAGAGGCAUUGUGGGUGGCUGCUUCUGAGGCACGGGAUCCGGUUGCUCCACCUAAGGUAUUUGGGCCAGUCGUGACACUUGCAGAGGCAUUAUGGGUGGCUGCUUCACCUGCCGAGGCACGGGAGCCGGUAGCUUCACCUGCCGAGGAACGGGAGCCGGUAGCUUCACCUGCAUUGUGGCCAGUCGUGGCGCUUGAUGAAGCAUUGUGGCCAGUUGCUUCAGCUAANNNNNNNNNNAGACCACACUAUCUACCUAGAGAGUUUUCAUCUGUAUUUUUUGUAGCUGUCU